AUUGAACGCUGGCGGCAUGCCUUACACAUGCAAGUCGAACGGUAACAGGUCUUCGGAUGCUGACAAGUGGCGAACGGGUGAGUAAUACAUCGGAACGUGCCUAGUAGUGGGGGAUAACUACUCGAAAGAGUGGCUAAUACCGCAUGAGAUCUACGGAUGAAAGCAGGGGAUCGCAAGACCUUGUGCUACUGGAGCGGCCGAUGGCAGAUUAGGUAGUUGGUGGGCUAAAAGCUUACCAAGCCGACGAUCUGUAGCUGGUCUGAGAGGACGAUCAGCCACACUGGGACUGCGACACGGCCCAGACUCCUACGGUAGGCAGCAGUGGGGAAUUUUGGACAAUGGGCGCAAGCCGGAUCCAGCAAUGCCGCGUGCAGGAUGAAGGCCUUCGGGUUGUAAACUGCUUUUGUACGGAACGAAAAGCCCUGGGUUAAUACCCUGGGGUCAUGACGGUACCGUAAGAAUAAGCACCGGCUAACUACGUGCCAGCAGCCGCAGUAACAC
rnacentral:rRNA from 1 species